rnacentral:rRNA from 1 species
UACAGAGGUCCCAAGCGUUGUUCGGAUUCACUGGGCGUAAAGGGUGCGUAGGUGGUUAGGUAAGUCGGAUGUGAAAUCUCCGGGCUCAACCCGGAAAUGGCAUUGGAAACUACCUUGCUGGAGGAUUUGAGGGGGGAUUGGAAUACUUGGUGUAGCAGUGAAAUGCGUAGAUAUCAAGUGGAACACCAGUGGCGAAGGCGAAUCCCUGGAAAAUACCUGACACUGAGGCACGAAAGCUAGGGGAGCAAACAGG